rnacentral:lncRNA from 1 species
UUCAAUUAUGUUAUAAAAUUCCAAUUAUUCCUCUUUUCACUUAGCAAAACAGUUUUUUGUGGGGUUUUUUGUUGUUGUUGUUUUUUGAGACAGAGUCUCACUCUGUAGCCCAGGCUGGAGUGCAGUGGUGCGAUCUUGGCCCACUGCAACCUCUACCUCCUGGGUUCAAGCAAUUCUCCUGCGUCAGCUUCCUGAGUAGCUGGGACUACAGGCACACGCCACCACGCCUGGCUAACUUUUGUAUCUGUAGUAGAGAUGGGGUUUCGCCAUGUUGGCUAGGCUGGUCUCGAACUUCUGGCCUCAAGUAAUCUGGCCGCCUUGUCACCUAGCUUUUAUUUAUGGCAUUUCAUAGAAUGUUUAAUAAUAGAAUUUAUAAGUCACUUCAUAUAUGUUAAAAUACUUUUAUAUUCCUUACAUUUGAUCUUCACAAACCUAAAAUGCCGGCAUUAUUAUCCCUGUUUUACAAAUCUGGAAUCGUGAAACAUUACCUCUUUUUCUUUAAUUCAGGUGGAGAAAUAUCUUUCAGCCUGAGUGGACAUUUUUAAGGACAAUGCUAUGGACUGAAUGUUUGUGUACCCCAAACUUCGUAUGUUGACAUCCUAGUCUUUAAUGUGAUAGUAUUGGGAAGUGAAGCUUUAGGAAAUAAUUAGGUCAUAAGGCUGAAGCCCUUGCGAGUGCGAUUAGUGCCCUUAAAAAGAGGAUCCCAGAGAGUUCUCUAGCUAUCUUUCUACCAUGUGAGGACAAAAUAAGAAGUCAACUAUUUGCAACCCAAAAGAGGGUCCUCACCAGAACCUGGUGGUGCUGGAACCGUGAUCUCAGACUUCCAGCCUCCAGAACUGUGAGAAACAGAUUUCUUUUGUUGAUAAGCCCACCAGUUUAUGAUAUUUUAUUAUUGCAGCCAGAGCUGACUCAGGCAGAAAUCACAUUAACAGAAUGCCUUUAGUAGUUCCAGUGAACUUGCAUCAUGGGAUGCUGGAAUCAUGGAAAUUGGAUAGAGAAAUAGAGCAUCUGUUCUCUCAGCAAGACAUUUCCAAAUCAGUUUUCCUAUCUGUAAGAGGAGAGGAAGGUUUUGUUUUUGUUUCUUAAGCAGCCGUUUAUUCUGCACCUGCCAUUUGUUAGAUGCUAUUUUAGGGACUUUCCUUACUUUAUGUCUUUUAAUUUUCAGUCAGCUAUUAAGAGAAAUAAUAUUCCCACUUUUCAGGUAAGAAAGAUGAGACCUGGACUAAAUGAUUUGCCCAGGGUCACAGAGAAAAGUGUCAGAACCUGAAUUCCAUACUGGCCCAGUCAACUUCAAAGCCUCUGCCUUAUUUAUUAUAUUAAGAUGCCUUCUGUAACUGAGAGAUAAUGUUUCUGUAAGAAAAAGUGAUCUUUUCUACAUCUGGCUAGCAGAAGAAACUGGUGUAUCACAGAGAUAGCUAAAUAAUGAAGAACAAGAUGGACUGAGUGGAAUGAACAGCUGUUACAAAUGUAGAAACUAUUAAAGAGCAGUCUAAUUGAGGAGCACUAUAGUGUAGCAGUCAAGAGCAUGGAUCUGAAAUCAGACCAGCCUGGAUUUAAGUUUUGGCUCUACCAUUACCUGGAUGUUUCAUCUUUCUCCAAGUUACACACUCUCAGCCUCAGUUUUCUCACCCGUAAACAAGCAUAUAAGGAUAAUAACCUGCCUCAGGUUGUAAGGAUGAAAGGGAACUUAUAUAAAACCUAUAAUGAAUCUGACUCACUAGGCUCUUAAUAGUAGCUCCUCUUAUAAGCAGAACAGGGCAAAGUAGUAAUUGCAACUGAGAAGAGAAAAUGCAGUUCAAAGCAAGAUUAAAAGGAUGAGUAAAGUCCCCUAGAGAGCUCAGCCCUACAGGAUUCGAGAUUCUCAUUCAUUCAUACCUUCCCUCCUUCCUUCCCUUCUAAUUUUUGUUCAACUACUUCCCUCUUUUCCUCUCUCUCUACCCACCAACCAUUAUGCUAGACUCCACAUGCAGCAUCUCAUUUUAUCCACCUUGAGCUUGCUUUUGCCCUACUCUCCUCAGUGUAGAAUUCUCUUCCUCCUGUCCCUCCCUUCACCCCCGCUUCCUGUCUCUGAGCUUCCUUCUCCAGGUUUGCUCCUUUCCAUCAGGUAUCACUUUAUCACCACCUCCUCAAAGAGGCCGUGUUCAUGUCCAGGCCCACAAUCUCAAGUAGCCAUCCUGUGAUUCUGUAUCAUAUUAUCCUUUUUAAACUCUAUGCAGCAUUUACUACCUCUGAUGUUUUUCUUCUUUAAGGAUUUGAUUGCCUUAUGUGACAAGCCCAAGAUCUGUGACAGUUGGAGCUCAAACUAGGCAGUCUUGAUUCCAGACUGCUCUGAACUAGUAUUUGAAGGAACUAAUGAACGUGACAUGUUAAAUGAAAGUUUGGGGACGUACACUCAGGAUGGAAGCAGGGGGACACAACAGAAAUGAAAGAAUUUUCUGUAGAUCUGGGAUCUGGACACCUGCCCCCCGUCAUGAAUAAAUGCCAUCCCUUCCCACGCCAACCAUAUUGAUGAUACAGUGGCAGGAAGGAGAGUAGGGGACUCUGGAGCUUAAACAGACCAUCACAUGCACCCUCAGUCAUCACAGUCAUUAGACUGGACAUCUGCCUCCAUGGAGAAUAUGUGAAUACCUCUGAAUGUACUUCCUGGAGGAGCUGCCAAACUAUUUCCAGCAAUGACAAAACAUAGCAUGGAAGGCAGCAAACAAGAUGCUAACUGAUGGAGUGAAAUCCCCAGGAGAUGCAGAAGGCAAGUGCAGCUAACUGAGGCCUCAGGGGCAGGAGAUGCCCAUCAGGAUGAGAGCUAUGUCUUUCUCCAGUGAUGACUCUGCUUCUAUGAGGUCACCAGCAGUAGAACCAUAUCUUGCUGGCAUACACUUGGGAUGGCCCCGCCUCUUGGACUUCCAUCUGUCAUCAGGAGAACAUGACCAUCUGGAGUCAGUACAGAUCAUCAAUCCUUCCACAUAUACAAGUUCAUUUUAAAUUUUUAAAAAUAUAAUACAACUGAGAAGUCUUCAUUAAAUUGUUC